rnacentral:lncRNA from 1 species
CACACACACAUACAUACAUAUGCGAAGACUAGCUUGUGAGGUUUUAUAAAUGAAAAUUUAAAAAGAAAUAUUUUUUAGGGUAACGUUUUAUAGCAAGAUCUUAAUUUUAAUUUGUAGAUUUAUAUUUAACCAAUUAAACUGGGGUAUUUUAUAAAAUAUACCUCUAAAGGGGUGUUAUAAGGAUUAUAAAGGCGUGUUAAAAGCUUCAGUCGUGGACAGAUUUGGAGCUGGAUCUCACACAAUAAGCCAACAAAGCCUUAAGCUUUCACUAUAAGCCGAUAGGUGAUUAUUUAAGGCCUGGUCCAAUCCUGAAACUCAAAGGCUGGUUGCGACCCAUCGACAAGACUUUUAUUCUUCCCCCCCCCCCAACGUAAAAUAUUGAAAGGACUCGUAGGCAGCCAUCAAUUCAAAAAUUCAAUUUUUUCCACGUCGUUCUUAAGUAUGUCUCUAAUUACAUUUCAACUAAAUAAAUAAAUAAAAUAAAAAGUACAAGCACAUCAAUAUGUUUGAAAUUUUAUUAUUUUAAGAUACAAAAUAAAACGGAUGAUCUAAAUAAAAGUUUUUAGUCUCUUAACAAGAACAUCAACAUUUCGUAUAAUUAAGCGGCUGUCUUGUCCAUUUUUAUUAACAAAAGAAGGAUACAUAAGCAAGAUAUACUUGCAGUUGAUUGAGCGAUUGUCUUGUCCAUUUUUAUUAACGAGACCAAAAUCAAAUCGCAAAUGCAACAAAAGUUAUAGCUAGGCAGUAGGCAGGCAGCAUUAAUUAAUUAUCCAUUACCGACCAAAAAGAAAAGAAGCACCGCACCAACCAUCCACCAUUCGAGAUUGUGAUUAAAACUCCACGUGCAGCAUCAGCAAUGACAUGUCACAGGCAUUUGCUUCAAAAAGAAAUCAUUUAGAAUUAGACCAUACAACAAAUAAAUAUACAGUGAGUGCAUCCACGACCUUGAAUUGAGUCAAUCCUGUAUCAACAUCGUUAAACGAUGCUAAUGGGGUUGGUAAUGGCUAAUUAAUUUUCAUAACAAUGAAAUUAAAAUAACCCAUUAAAAUGGCUGAGAAUUUGUUACGUAAUCAAACAUUGGAUGGCCAAUGAUUAAUGGAAAUGCUCUUAAGGCUUACCUCAUCGCCGUCAUCAUCUUGUAAUGACAGUUAACCGUUGACUUAUUGUUAUGGACACAACCACCAUUGCUGAUCUGUUGGUCCCCGCAGCACGCUUGCCUCUAAUUUUUGAUAUUUUUAAUUAGGUAGUGCUUAUUGAGCAACUGGGAGGAUUAGGUGUGUGUUCAGUCACAUACACACACAUCUAUCUUGCACUUGCUAUCACCACCUAACGUUUUUGACCGAAAUCAAAUCCUUCGAACAAUGCAAGUGUGUAUAUAUAUAUAUAGGGUCCGCACCUAACGUUUAAUGUAACGUACAGUCAGCCUGUGAAAUUUCAUCUAGCCCCUUAUACUCUAUGU